AUUGAACGCUGGCGGCAUGCUUUACACAUGCAAGUCGAACGGCAGCGCGGGCUUCGGCCUGGCGGCGAGUGGCGAACGGGUGAGUAAUGCAUCGGAACGUGCCCAGUAGUGGGGGAUAGCCCGGCGAAAGCCGGAUUAAUACCGCAUACGACCUGAGGGUGAAAGCGGGGGACCGAAAGGCCUCGCGCUAUUGGAGCGGCCGAUGUCGGAUUAGCUAGUUGGUGGGGUAAAGGCUUACCAAGGCGACGAUCCGUAGCUGGUCUGAGAGGACGACCAGCCACACUGGGACUGAGACACGGCCCAGACUCCUACGGGAGGCAGCAGUGGGGAAUUUUGGACAAUGGGGGCAACCCUGAUCCAGCCAUGCCGCGUGCGGGAAGAAGGCCUUCGGGUUGUAAACCGCUUCUGUUCGGGAAGAAAUCCUCUGGGCUAAUACCCCGGGGGGAUGACGGUACCGGAAGAAUAAGCACCGGCUAACUACGUG
rnacentral:rRNA from 1 species